rnacentral:rRNA from 1 species
GUAGGUGGCAAGCGUUGUCCGGAAUUAUUGGGCGUAAAGCGCGCGCAGGCGGUUCUUUAAGUCUGAUGUGAAAGCCCACGGGCUCAACCGUGGAGGGUCAUUGGAAACUGGAGAACUUGAGUACAGAAGAGGAAAGCGGAAUUCCACGUGUAGCGGUGAAAUGCGUAGAGAUGUGGAGGAACACCAGUGGCGAAGGCGGCUUUCUGGUCUGUAACUGACGCUGAGGCGCGAAAGCGUGGGGAGCAAACAGGAUUAGAUACCCUGGUAGUCCACGCCGUAACCGAUGAGUGCUAAGUGUUAGGGGGUUUCCGCCCCUUAGUGCUGCAGCUAACGCAUUAAGCACUCCGCCUGGGGAGUACGGCCGCAAAGGCUG